rnacentral:misc_RNA from 1 species
GAAAUGCGAUAAGUAGUGUGAAUUGCAGAAUUCAGUGAAUCAUCGAAUCUUUGAACGCACAUUGCGCCCCUCGGUAUUCCGUGGGGCAUGCCUGUUCGAGCGUCAUCUACACCCUCAAGCUCUGCUUGGUGUUCGGCGUCUGUCCCGCCUCCGCGCGCGGACUCGCCCCAAAUGCAUUGGCAGCGGUUCCUUGCCCCCCUCUUUGCGCAGCACAUUGCCAUUCGAGGCGGCGGCGGCCCGCGUCCAACAAGCUCAACCCCCCCGUCUUUGACCUCGGAUCAGGUAGGGAUACCCGCUGAACUUAAGC